rnacentral:rRNA from 1 species
GACGAACGCUGGCGGCGUGCCUAACACAUGCAAGUCGAACGAGGGUUUGGAAAGCUUGCUUUCCGAAACCUAGUGGCGGACGGGUGAGUAACGCGUGAGUAACCUGCCUUUCAGAGGGGAAUAACGUUCUGAAAAGAACGCUAAUACCGCAUAACGUACAGUUACCGCAUGGUAGCAGUACCAAAGGAGCAAUCCGCUGAAAGAUGGACUCGCGUCCGAUUAGCUAGUUGGUGGGGUAAAGGCCUACCAAGGCGACGAUCGGUAGCCGGACUGAGAGGUUGAACGGCCACAUUGGGACUGAGACACGGCCCAGACUCCUACGGGAGGCAGCAGUGGGGGAUAUUGCACAAUGGGGGAAACCCUGAUGCAGCAACGCCGCGUGUGGGAAGAAGGUUUUCGGAUUGUAAACCACUGUUCUUGGUGAAGAUAAUGACGGUAACCAAGGAGAAAGCUCCGGCUAACUACGUG